UACGUAGGGGGCUAGCGUUGUCCGGAUUCACUGGGUUUAAAGGGUGCGUAGGCGGGCAGGUAAGUCAGUGGUGAAAUCCCCGAGCUUAACUUGGGAACUGCCGUUGAUACUAUCUGUCUUGAAUAUCGUGGAGGUGAGCGGAAUAUGUCAUGUAGCGGUGAAAUGCUUAGAUAUGACAUAGAACACCAAUUGCGAAGGCAGCUCGCUACACGAAUAUUGACUCUGAGGCACGAAAGCGUGGGGAUCAAACAGG
rnacentral:rRNA from 1 species